CCUACGGGAGGCAGCAGUGAGGAAUAUUGGUCAAUGGGCGGAAGGCUGAACCAGCCAAGCCGCGUGAGGGAGGAAGGCGCAGCGCGUCGUAGACCUCUUUUGCCGGGGGACAAAAGGCCGGACUUGUCCCGUCCUGGGGGUACCCGGAGAAAAAGCAUUGGGCAAACUCCGGCCCAGCACCGGCGUUAAUACGGGGAUUCGGGGCGUUAUCCGGUUUUAUUGGGUUUAAAGGUGCCGUAGGCGGGCUUUUAGGCCAGCGGUAAAUCGGCGGGGUUCAACCCCGCCGGGCCGUGGAAACUGGGGGCCUUGAGUGGGCCAGAGGAAUGCGGAAUGCGCGGUGUAGCGGUGAAAUGCAUAGAUAUCACGCAGAACCCCGAUUGCGAAGGCAGCGUUCCGUGCCGCCACUGACGCUGAGGCACGAAAGCGCGGGGAUCGAACAGGAUUAGAUACCCUAGUAGUC
rnacentral:rRNA from 1 species